UUUCACAGCUGCCAGGCGGAUUGUGUGCAUCUGGGGGUGGGACUGACAAUGAGCAACAAAUGUCUUCCUGUUUAAAACACGGUCUUCCGGCGUCAUUUGUUUGUAACGUGUUGCCGGCGUCGGAAGGCUGGAAUUGCUAGCGGUACAUCGGUCUUUGAGCGUGAAUCGCUUCAGACAAACUCUGGGUGGCAGCCAGUAGCGUUAGCAUUCAUCGCCAGCUGUGCAAGUUUGUUUCACUAGAGUAUGCCGAAAGCCUGUCCCCCUCCUACCUCGGCUCACCUCUUGUGAUGACAGGUCAUU